UACGUAGGGUGCUAGCGUUGUUCGGAAUCAUUGGGCGUAAAGCGCGUGUAGGUGGUUAAUUAAGUCGGGUGUGAAAGCCCUGGGCUCAACCCAGGAAGUGCAUCCGAAACUGGUUAACUAGAAUAUGGUAGAGGAAGGUGGAAUUCCUGGUGUAGAGGUGAAAUUCGUAGAUAUCAGGAGGAAUACCGGUGGCGAAGGCGGCCUUCUGGACCAUUAUUGACACUAAGACGCGAAAGCGUGGGUAGCAAACAGG
rnacentral:rRNA from 1 species